AAGGGUAUGGCUCAAGCUCUAGAGCACAUGCUUAGCAUGCACGAAGUUCUGGGUUCAAUCCCCAGUACCUCCU
rnacentral:tRNA from 1 species